GUUCUUGCUCCAGCAGUACAUACACUAAAAUUGCAAAGAUAAAGAUUAGCAUUGCCCCCGCACAAGGAUGACAUGCAAAUUCGUGAAACAUUCCAUAUUUUU
rnacentral:snRNA from 1 species